CCCUUAGAGUUUGAUCCUGGCUCAGAAUCAACGCUGGCGGCGUGCCUAACACAUGCAAGUCGAACGCGAAAGCCCCGCAAGGGGUAAGUAGAGUGGCAAACGGGUGAGUAACACGUGGGUGACCUGCCUUCGAGUGGGGGAUAACGUCCCGAAAGGGACGCUAAUACCGCAUAACAUCCUGCCUUUUAAGAGGUGGACAUCAAAGCUGGGGACCGCAAGGCCUGGCGCUUGAAGAGGGGCCCGCGCCUGAUUAGCUAGUUGGUGGGGUAAUGGCUCACCAAGGCAUCGAUCAGUAUCCGGCCUGAGAGGGCGGACGGACACACUGGGACUGAGACACGGCCCAGACUCCUACGGGAGGCAGCAGUGGGGAAUUGUUCGCAAUGGGCGCAAGCCUGACGACGCAACGCCGCGUGGAGGAUGAAGACCUUCGGGUCGUAAACUCCUUUCGAUCGAGACGAAUGGUUUCCGGGUGAAUAGCCUGGAGAAGUGACGGUACCGAGAGAAGAAGCCCCGGCUAACUCCGUGCCAGCAGCCGCGGUAAUACGGGGGGGGCAAGCGUUGUUCGGAAUUACUGGGCGUAAAGGGCUCGUAGGCGGCCAACUAAGUCAGACGUGAAAUCCCUCGGCUUAACCGGGGAACUGCGUCUGAUACUGGAUGGCUUGAGUUCGGGAGAGGGAUGCGGAAUUCCAGGUGUAGCGGUGAAAUGCGUAGAUAUCUGGAGGAACACCGGUGG
rnacentral:rRNA from 1 species